AGGAUAUCUGAAUUAUCGCCUGAAGACGGCAUCAAGGAAGACUCAUCAAGAAGAGUAUUUCACCCCAGUCGGGAGGCCCAACCCAUAGGAGGAAGACUGACCUGGACCACCAGCUUGUUGGUGAUGCAUGCAAGGAGGCCCUUUCCUUCCUUGUCCACUCGGCCAAUGAAAAACACAUUUAUCAGACGAUGAAGGGGGUGUUCCAGGAUCGCCAGGAGCCAGUUUAUAGUCCAGACAGAAGCACAGAUGUCCUCACAGUCUUUCCCAGGUUUCUGGACAUCAAAGGAUUGGUGAAUCAGGACUUUUUGCCGACGAUGAAACAUCCUCUAAGCUCCUUGAAAAGUGGGACGCAAUAUUGAAGCCUAAAGUCAUCAAACUGGCAAAAUCCAUGACUAUGACCGCCGAUUUGCGUCGCCUCCUGAAGUCUGCAGAAAAACCACCAGAGAAUGACUGCGAAACCAACUGGGACAAUGAUAUGUCCUCCCUGCUGCUGCUUCAUCUCCUCCCACCAGCAGCAGGAGGGAAGAGGACCAAGAUCAGUGCCAGUGAUGCUGUGGGUAGACUAGUGCACUUU